rnacentral:lncRNA from 10 species
UUUGCCUCUGGCUGGAAUGUUCUCCCCUUGAAGACACCUCCAGGUCUUUGCAGACAUCUGCUUCCCUUGUCUGGCCCUGCUAUGCAGCUCUGUGCUUUAUCUACAGCCAUGGCAUAGGAAGCAGCCUGAGACAUGACACGGCUGCCUCAUGCCCAGCUUGUUGAGUACCACGUGACCUCCCUGCAGAGCAUUAGGAAGACAAGCAGGGCCUUCAGUAGGCAUAAGGUGAUGAGGUUCAUGCCGUUGGAUCCCACGGGUGCCCUGGGGAAGAGAUGGUUGGGAAGUCUGAGAGGAAGCAGGAGAGCUUUCGGAGCACAUGGAUGCCGUCCAGAAUGGAGAUGGUUGUGGCUCGGAAGAAAAAGAAAUCACCCAGCUCGGAGUCAGGAUACAUUUGGAGGUCCAGGCCGCCGAGUUUGCUGGUGGGGAAGAUAGGCACCAGAAAGGAAAGAGGACAUCCAGGGCAAUUUCUUCUGCCCCCCAGCCAAUCCGUACAUUGUCCAGAGGCCAAGCCUACUGCUGUUAGAAAACAUAUUUAGAAAUCACUUGGUUCUUCCUUGCCUGAACAUCAUCUAUUUAGUUAGCUUGUGUUGUUUAGAUGUGCUUCAGAUCUCAAAAAAAUAAAUUAUGUUAUUUGAAAGCUUGCUCUCUGCUUGUUUACACUAUUAAUUUAGAGUCCAGAGGAAUCUCUAAAUUUGCCUCUAGAAACCACAUAAUCACCUAAUAAUACCUUUCCUGACUCCACUUUCUGACACAAAGUGACUUUUGAAACGCUUCCAUCUUCCCUUUCUAUUUAAUGUACUGCACUCCACUCUUUUUUCCUUUCGUUUUUUCUACAGUCCGUCAUGGAGUAUUUGUUUACCAAAUGUUACUUUUCUUGGAUCCAAUCUAUUUUUGAAGAGCGCAAAAGCAAACAACUGUUUGAAGCUGUCAAGCUUCAUUUUAUUUAUGCAUGAAUAACACAAAUAACUUGAAAAUGACCUAGUCUGUUUUUCUCAGAUUUAGAUAGAAAAACUGCUUCCGGCCAAUGUUUAUGCCAAUUUGUUCAUGCCAAGUUUCCAGUUUCGGUGCCAACCGGUUUUUACAGCCAAGUUGUAAACCUUCGGUAAACAUGGCUUAUAAUGAAAAGUGCAACACAGCCUGAACCCUGGCACCAGGGGACGGAUGUAAAUUUAUUCUAAGAACAAAAUUCUAACAGGAACAGGAGGGGAGCUAGGCUGGCUACAAAGUGUUCCCACCGUAAUAUGGAAAAUGUACAGAUGAUGAUAUAUUUGAUUACUAAGAUCCCAUUAGGCCAAUUUAGGCACUUUAUGUAUUUCCUUUGCUCUGGACGCUGAGUGGUUUCAUGCUCAAUUUGAAGCAACUGGCUCAUUGUCUCAGGGUGGUUCUAGAACUUUGCCUUCAGGUGGGGCUGGGGAGGGAGCC